UACGUAGGGGGGCAAGCGUUGUCCGGAUUUAUUGGGCGUAAAGAGCGUGUAGGCGGCCCGCACAGGUCCGUUGUGAAAACUGGAGGCUUAACCUUCAGACGUCGAUGGAAACCGUGCGGCUAGAGUCCGGAAGAGGAGAAUGGAAUUCCUGGUGUAGCGGUGAAAUGCGCAGAUAUCAGGAAGAACACCCGUGGCUAAGGCGGUUCUCUAGUACGGUACUGACACUGAGACGCGAAAGCGUGGGGAGCGAACAGG
rnacentral:rRNA from 1 species